rnacentral:rRNA from 1 species
AUUGAACGCUGGCGGCAGGCCUAACACAUGCAAGUCGAACGAGUGGCGGACGUGUGAGUAAUGUCUGGGAACCUGCCUGAUGGAGGGGGAUAACUACUGGAAACGGUAGCUAAUACCGCAUACAAUCGGAUGUGACCAGAUGGGAUUAGCUAGUAGGUGGGGUAACGGCUAACCUAGGCGACGCUCCCUAGCUGGUCUUAGAGGAUGCCCGACCACACUGGAACUGAGGCACGGGCCAAACUCCAACGGGAGGCAGCAGUGGGGAAGAUUGCACAAUGGGGUCGAGCCUGAUGCAGCCAUGCCGCGUGUAUGAAGAAGGCCUUCGGGUUGUAAAGUACUUCCAGCGGGGAUGCGGUACCCGCAGAAGAAGCACCGGCUAACUACGUGCCAGCAGCCGCGGUAAUAC